GGAGAGAUGCCGGAGCGGUUGAACGGGCCUGACUCGAAAUCAGGUGUACGCUUACGCGUACCGAGGGUUCGAAUCCCUCUCUCUCCGCCA
rnacentral:tRNA from 1 species